rnacentral:rRNA from 1 species
AAUGGGCGCAAGCCUGAUGCAGCGACGCCGCGUGAGGGAUGACGGCCUUCGGGUUGUAAACCUCUGUUAGCAUCGAAGAAGCGAAAGUGACGGUAGGUGCAGAGAAAGCGCCGGCUAACUACGUGCCAGCAGCCGCGGUAAUACGUAGGGCGCGAGCGUUGUCCGGAAUUAUUGGGCGUAAAGAGCUUGUAGGCGGUUGGUCGCGUCUGCUGUGAAAGGCUGGGGCUUAACCCUGGUUUUGCAGUGGGUACGGGCUAACUAGAGUGCAGCAGGGGAGACUGGAAUUCCUGGUGUAGCGGUGGAAUGCGCAGAUAUCAGGAGGAACACCGAUGGCGAAGGCAGGUCUCUGGGCUGUAACUGACGCUGAGAAGCGAAAGCAUGGGGAGCGAACAGGAUUAGAUACCCUGGUAGUCCAUGCCGUAAACGUUGGGCACUAGGUGUGGGGGACAUUCCACGUUUUCCGCGCCGUAGCUAACGCAUUAAGUGCCCCGCCUGGGGAGUACGGCCGCAAGGCUAAAACUCAAAGAAAUUGACGAGGGCCCGCACAAGCGGCGGAGCAUGCGGAUUAAUUCGAUGCAACGCGAAGAACCUUACCAAGGCUUGACAUAUACUGGACUGCGUCAGAGAUGGCGUUUCCCUUCGGGGCUGGUAUACAGGUGGUGCAUGGUUGUCGUCAGCUCGUGUCGUGAGAUGUUGGGGUUAAGU